rnacentral:SRP_RNA from 1 species
GCCAGCGCGGUGGCACGUGCUUGUAGUCCCAGCUACUCAAGAGGCUGAGGUGGGAGGAUUGCUUGAGCCCAGGAGUUCUGGGCUGUAGUGUGCUAUGCCGAUCAGAUGUCUGUUGUAAGUUCAGCACAAAUAUGGUGACCUUCUGGGAGUGGGGGACCACCAGGUUGCCUAAGGAGGGGUGAACCAGCCCAAGUCAGAGAUGGAGCAGGUCAAAACCCCAGUGCUGAUCAGUAGUGGGAUUGCACCUGUGAAUAGCCACUGCACUCCAGCCUGGGCAACAUAGCGAGACCCUGUCUCU